UUUUUUUUUCUCCUUGGGUAGGACGGGAACAUACCGGUUCGGGUUGGUGUUUUUGUUUCUGAUGGAAGGCGCCGUAUAUAGGGACGAGAGUAACAAAAUAUUAUUAUGUUACUAGUAACAAAAUAGCUCUGUCUUAUAUAGAUAGUAGCACUAUUCUGAUCCUAGGAUCAAAAUAGUUAUUCUGAUCACACCGUGGGUCUGAUCGCAUGUUUCUGAAUCUGGAAACGUUAAGAAGGCUACCCACUCGAACUUCCCACUCGAAGAAAAAAACACCUAAAGUCAUCGCCGAUCCCCACACAACGCCGCCGCCGGCCGACAGCAUCUGGCAACCACGCGCCACCACGGCCUCCACCGCCAUACGCCGUCGUGGACUCUGCGUUCGCGCUCUCCACCGGCGGUCUCCCUCCCCUGCUUAUACCUACGGCGGCGGCCUCCCUCCCACUGCUUCAACCCAUGGCGGCGGCCACCACUGCGCCGCCUUCCUCGUGUCCCACGUCGCCGGUGCGCUCUCUCCCCGGCGGCCGACUCGCCUCCUCUGGCCCACGCGUCGUGCUCCUGCGGCCGCCCGCCCACGCGCACUGCCAACCAAGCUCCGCCCUUGCAUCUCGCCGCCACGACCGCUCCUCCACAUCUUGGGAUGCCGGCGCACCACCACCCUCCAAAGGUCACCGGGAUCUCGCUGCAGCCCGCCCCUCUGUGGAUGAAGACCCCCGCGAGCCACUUCUGCCACAUCUGUGAUCCACCUCCUAGCAAAGUCCUAGAUCCUCCGACGAGGAUCCAGCUCCUCCCUGGCGCGCCGACGGAGACCCGCACACUCCACACUGGCGCCAUCUUCCGCUCGCCUCGAGCUCCCACCGGCUCGCCCUGCCGCUGGUGCUAUGCUCCCCAUCGCCUCACAUGUUGUCGUCCAUCGUGCCUACCACACCACCACCUGCAGAUGGAGAAGACCUCGGCUUGCAGGUAGAGGAGGCCUCGACCUGCAGUUCUACAGUAGAUGUGUCCAGGUAACUCUGCCAGGUAGUUGUGCCGGCUUCCUACUGUUUGAAAGAUCGCAACACGGGUCGGCAUCAACAUGUUUGUCGUAGUGCAGUCCUAGUUGAGCCUCCCUUGUCUUCCUCAUUGCUUGCGUUGGUGUCCAGGCCUCCAAUCGAACGGCUGCUUGGCCGCAAGAUCAGCACAACAGCAUGCUGAUGGCAUCUAUUACCAUGUUCUCAUGGGAAAAGCAGCUAGCUUGCCUUGAAGCAGCAUCCAUUACCUCGCGUUCUCCUGGUUGCUUCCUCCAACACAAGGACGAACAAAGUGAUUAGUUGGUUUGCUGCUACUCUUCUUCUACUACAGUGUGUCUUUAGAUUCAAAGAAGUUCAGCUUUGCGCCAGAUAAAAGUUCAGUUUUAUGUCCCUGCUCGCUCCCUCUCCCGUUUGCGCAUUUCUCCAUGGCUUUAUCUUUGUUGAAUCAUAGAUUAACUAGAGCGACACAGAACCUCCUGACAUCAGCGAAUAGUGUGUGUGGCGAUGACCGCGGACGACAUGUUGUGUGCGUGCGUGAUGUCACUAUUGACUUCUGCUGUCAUACAAAAUUAGUUGUUGUUUUGAAGAUUCUAUACAACAGAAAUUUAGGGAAAUCAACUUGUUGUGCUACUGUAGAUGGGUAGCAUUUGGCCGCCCAUGUGGGUGUUUAUUCUUAUUCCUUAUAAAGAGGAAAUUGUAUGUGCUAGCUCAUCGGAUUUGUAUAGAAAAAAAUGAAUGAUUAUGUAUUCAACAAUUAUGUGAUCUUUUAGGUUUUAGCAUCUGAAAUGUAUUGAGUUUUCUAUGUGUAUUACAGCAGUCCAAAAAGUUGUUUACCAGCGGUUUGCUAGGCCGUCCGAUACAGGAUCUGGACUUCGGACAGACAAGUGAGGCACGGAUUGCAGGACACGAUCUCACCUUGCUUUUUGUGUGAGCAGGAGGAGGGCACGGUGGAUCACAUCCUCAUACAUUGCGUCUAUGCCAGUCAGGUGUGGUUCCAAUGCUUCACCAAGGUUGAGAUCCCUUUGGAGCUGUUGCCACAUGGACAUGAAAGGGUGGAGGACUGGUGGGUAGCUUCGAGGAAGAGGGUACCGAAGGUACAGCGGAAGGACUAUGAUUCUUGUCACGGUGGUUUGUUGGAAUUUAUGGAGCAGAGGAAUAGUAUGGUUUUUGGUAGGAGCAACAUGUGUAAUGAACUAGAUACGGUCAGGGACAUUCUCAGGGAACGCUAAUUAUGGGCAUUGGCGAGAGGGAGUGGAGUGCUGCAUUUUUGUGAGUAGUCGCUUUGGAGCUGGUUGAGGAGGACGUAGGCACGCCUUCUGGUGAUGCUCGCGGCUUGUAAUAUCUUGUAAGUAUUUUUCUCCCUUUCUAUAAAGCUAAGGCACGUCUUUCACGUGCUCUCAAAAAAACAAUUCAAUAUAAAUAGGAAUAAAUUUAGUUAUAUAUGUGUGUACUUCAGUAGCAGUUUGGUAAAAAAAGGCAUUCAACAUAAGGGUGCAAUGCGACAGAAGAAAAAACAACAUGGGAUAUUGAAACAGAGGGCCGUACCUUAAUUCCCAGAAACGAGUGCCUUUUCUAUACGGAUCACAUUCCAAAAAAUUGUUCUAUUAUGGUUGUGUCCUUGCACUCAUUUUUUUCUUCUGAAAAUGUCGAAACAAGAAUGACGGAAAGAUUAUUGUUAAUUUGUUCCUGUGACGCUAUAGAUGUUUGUUUACACUAAAAAAAGUUCAGAAAAACAACACACUUGCAGUUUGUAAAAAAAACAAAAAAGGGUCAAAAAGGACGAAAGGUUCAAAUUAAAAUAACAUAUCAGUUGAAUGUUUAUAACUUUUUGGAACUUUCCUAUUUCCAAAAAAUCAAGAAGUUCAAAUGAAGUAACAACAACAUUUUUUCACGUUUCUAAAGAAAUGCAAAGAAGGUCAAACUAUAAAAAUAGAGCAGUUCAAAAAUUAUUUAAAAAAUGGAUUUCCCCAUUUCUAAAAGAACCUAGAAGUUGAAAUUAAAAGAGCGGAGUGUUCCAUGUUUAUUGAAAAACUAGGUUUUUUUGUAAACGAAAGAAAUAAAACCAAGACGUCCAAUAUAGUAAAUAGAGCAAAAAAAUAAAAAACCUUAGAUCUUCCCUGUUACUGAAGAAAUAAAAUCAUCAAUUUGAUGUUCAACUAUUUGUUCUUGUGCUUUUAGAGAAAAUGGAUUUUCCUCAUUUCUACGAAAAACCUAGAGGCUCAAACUUAAAUAAUGGAGAAGUCCAACGUUUAUUAACAUACCAAGAAGGUCAAGUUAAAAAAAAGCAGUUCAAAAAGUAUAUAUACUAGAUUUUUCUUGUUUUUUAAAAAGCUCUAGAAUUUCAAAUUUAAAUAAUUGGGCGGUUUGAUGUUUUCCACAUAACUAAGACUUGAAUCGUUACUAAUGAAUAACACCAAGAAAUCCAAAUUGAAAAACCAAGAAGUUCAAUUAAAAAAUAGAGUAGUACAAUGUAUAUGAAAAACUUAGAUUUUCCUCGUUACUAAAUAAUAAACCAAGAAGGUUAAUUUAAAAAUAGAGCAGUUCAAUAUUUAUUGCAAAAAACUCGAAUUUUUCCUGUUACUAACGAAUAAACCAAGAAGUUCAGUUUGAAAUAACGAAGAAGUUCGACAUUUACUAAAAAAACAAUUCUUACCAUUUCUAAAAAUACACAAAGAGGUUCAAAAAUAAGAUUUUUGCCAUUUUUAAUAAAAAGAAACUCUAGAAGUUCAUAUUUAAAUAGCGGGCUGGUUCAAUAUUGAUUAGAAAACUAGGAUUUUUCCAUUACUACAAGGAAAUAAAUUAAGAAGUCCAAAUUACAAAAAUAGAGAUGGUCGAUAUUUAUAAAAAUCUUAAGUUUUUCUUGAUACUAAAGAAUAAAAAUGAAGAAUUUCAAAUUAAAAUAAAGGAUUAGUUCAAUGUAUACGAAAAACUGAAAUUCAUUUUGUUUCGAGGAAGAAUGGAAGCAAGAAGUUCAAUUUUAAGAAAAAUUGUAUGAUUCUAAAACUAUAAUUUUUUUCUCCGAAGAAUAAUACUAUGAAUGUUUUAGGAUUUAUGAGUAAAAAACAGAGAGUAGUUCAAAGUGAAACCAACCAUCGGUUCAACUACUACAUGGAUUGUGUUUCAUAUAAAAAAGAAUAAAAAGACAAAGUCUAAAAAUACUUUAGCUAGAAGUUCACGUGGUCGGCCUAUGCAGUUCAAAAAUUCUUGUGAAGGAGGUUCACUAUGUAUUUACUUGUGCAAAAACACAUAAAAUGUAGUUUGUGUUUUGAAACAAUUUUCUCAAUCCAUUACAAAAUUGAAACACAAUGCUUGACACAAAAAAUGUUCUUUUUACUCAACAAAUUUCCAAGGGUAUAUCAUAUUCUUAUUCCAAAAUAAAUGGUUAAAAACAGAUUGGUGUAUGUUGUUUGGAAAAAGAGUUUAAUCAUAUUAAAAAUAGUUGUGUCCUUUCAACAUGUUUCUAAUGGUUUAUCAUUGGUGGAACUCCGAGCAACGGGUGAGGAAUUACAAACAAAAAACACGUGAUAGAAGUUCAAGGUGAAAACAGUGGGAAGUUCAACUACUACACGGAAUACGUUUCAGAUAAUAAUAUAAAAUAAAAGGCUUAAAAGAUUUGUUGCAAGAAGUUCACGUGCUCCUCCUAGCAUAGAUCAGAAUUCAUGUGCGAGACGUCCGUCGUUCAUUUACAUGUUGAAAAAAGGCAAAAAAACGAUGUUGUUUUGCCAUUUUAAAAUCUACUCUCAAACGGCAACGAAUUUGUAACACAUGUCUACAUGAAAAACUUGCUGCUAUUCAUAAGUUUUCUACCGGUAUAUUAUGUGUCACAUUUCGAUGAACGGUUCAAAAUUUUCAUGUAUACCGUUUAAAACACGUAUUUAUGUAUUCAAAAAAUUCACAUUUGUUGAAAAAAGUUUAUAAUGAAAAUAACGAGAAGUUCAAGUACUGCAAGGAAUGCAUUUCAGGUGAGAAUAGAAAUACAGAAAAAUAAAAGCUUAAAGGGUUUGUUGAAAGAAGUUCAAGUGCUCUGUCUGGGGAAGUUCAAUAAUUCUUGCGAGAGAGGUUCACCUUGUAUUCCUAUGUUCAAAAAACACAAAAAAUAUUUUUUUACGUUUUAAAAUAAUUCUCUCAAUCCACAAAGAAGUUUAGUUGUUAUUUGGGAGCAAUUUGAUUUCAAAAAGAAAAUAAAAAAAUCAAAUUUUAAAAAUGGAAAAAGUUCAUGUACUACAUGGUUUGUGUUUAAUAUGUGAAAAAUGGAUUAAAAGGCAAGGUCCAAUUUUGUUGUUGUUAUAAGUUCAAGUCCUCAGUCGGAGAAAGUUCAAAAAAUAUUGUGAGAGAGGUUUGUACAAAAGGAAUAUCAUUUGUGUAACACUGACGAAAUGGAUGAGAAAAUUACAAACGAAAAUACGUCAAAGAAGUUCAACGUGAAAAUAGCAGGAAGUUCGACUACUAUAGUGAAUGAAUUUGAGAUGAAAAACUUUUAAAACCAUCGCGAGUAUGAAAAAAUGAUCAACACGGGAAAGUUGCGUGUUUACAUCAGCUUUCUACCGCUAUAUUACUUGCUCAAUUCCGGUGAGUGGAUGGAGAGCUACGGGCAAAUAAAGCACGUGAAAAACAGAAUGAAGUUCAAGUAGACAUGCCGAGAAGUUCAGGUUCUUCACGCGGUGCAUUUUCGAAGAAUCUGUUUCACGAUAAAGGCAGAACGAAUGAUCUCACCAUUUUCGAAAUUACUUGAAAACGUCUUGGAAUCACAGAAAAACCAUCAACAUGAAAAAGUUUCGCAUUUUCCUUAGCUUUUCAACUGUAUAUUAUUUGCCCCAUUCCGAUAAAUUUUGUAGAAAUUACUGCGAGAAUACGUUUUUAGCCAUUUUCAAAGUUGACUUAAAACAGUAAGGAAAUGGGACAAACAAUAUAUACCAAAACGUUUCGCAUUUCCUCAAGCUUUCCAACGCCAUAUCAUUUGCUGCAUUCGGACGUACGGUUAAAAAAAUAGAUCGAAAAUACAAACUCGGUGGAACUUGUACCGUUUCUAAAGUACUCUUAAACCGUUCGAAAUUAGAACAAACUUUCAACAGGAGAAAGUAGCGCAUUUCCAUAAGCUUUCCAACGCCAUAUCAUUUCCCUCAAUUGGAUUAGCCGUUUAGAAAUGAGAUCGAAAAUACAAACUCGGUUGUUCGGUUUCAGAAAUUUUACGAUUUUCCAAAUUACUCUUUAACCGUAGGGAAUUAGAGAAAACUUUCAACAUGUGGAAGGAGCAGUUUUGCAGCAGCUUUCCAAUGCCAUAUUAUUUGCCUCAUUCCGAUAAACGCUUUAGAAAUGCGAUCGAAAAUACGAUUCAUGUUUUUUGUAUGAAAAAAAUGGUUUUCAAAACUGCUCUUAAACCGCUUACAUUUUGCCAAAUUUUUGGCAAAAUGUAAGCGGUUUAAGAGCAGUUUUGAAAACCGUUUUUCUUGACACACAAAACAUGAAUCGUAUUUUUGAUCGCAAUUCUAAACCAUUUAUCAAAAUGAGGCAAAUAAUAUGGCGCUGGAAAGCUGUUGUAAAACCACUCCUUCCACAUAUUGAAAGUUUUCUCUAAUUUCCUAUGGUUAAAGAGUAAUUUGGAAAAUUGUAAAAUUUCGCAAACCAAACAGCCGAGUUCGUAUUUUCGAUGUCAUUUUUAAAUGGCUAAUCCAAUUUAGGCAAAUGAUAUGGCGUUGGAAAGCUUAUGAAAAUGUGCUACUUUCUCUUGUUGAAAGUUUGUUCUAAUUUCGAACGAUUUAAAAGUAAUUUAGAAAACGGUACAAGUUCCACCGAGUUCGUAUUUUUGAGCUAAUUUUUUAAUCUUACGCCCGAAUACAACAAAUGAUAUGGCAUUGGAAAGCUUGUGGAAAUGCGAAACUUUUUUAUAUAUAUUAUUUCUCUCAAUUCAUUGCGGUUUUAUGUCAAUUUUGAAAAUGGCUAAAAACGUAUUUUCGUCGUAAUUGUUACAACUUUUAUCAGAAUGGGGCAAAUAAUAUACCGUUGAAAAGCUAAGAAAAAUGCAAAACUUUUUCAUGUUGAUGGUUUUCUGUGAUUCCAAGCCGUUUUCAAGUAAUUUCAAAAACGGAAAGAUUAUUCGUUCUGCCUUUAUCGCGAAACAGAUUCUUCAAAAAUGCACCGCGCGAAGAACCUGAACUUCUUGGCAUGUCUACUUGAACUUCACUCUGUUUUUCACGUGUGUUUUUUUGCCCGUAGCUCUCCAUCCACUCACCGGAAUACUCACCCGAGUUGAGCAAGUGAUAUACCAGUAGAAAGUUGAUGUAAACAUGCAACUUUCCCGUGUUGAUCAUUUUUUCAUACUCGCGACGGUUUUAAAAGUUUUCAUCUCAAAUUCAUUCACUAUAGUUGGCGAACUUCCUGCUGUUUUCACGUUGAACUUCUGUGACAUAUUUUUGUUUGUAAUUUUCUCAUCCAUUCGUUAGUGUUACACAAAUGAUAUUCUUUUUGUACAAACCUCUCUCACAAUAAUUUUUUUAACUUUAUCCGAUCGAGGACUUGAACUUAUAACAACAAAACUUUUAGUCUUUGCUUUUUUAAGUCCAUUUUAAUACAAAAUGCACACCGUCUAGUACGUGAACUUCUGGCAGUUAUCAAUCUAAACUUCUCUCGGUUACAUGAAAAUAUCUAAGUUUUUUAUGAAUAUUAAUUUGAAUUUCUUAAUCUUUUUUACGAAAUUUUGAAGUGCUCUAUUAUUAAAAAUUGAACUUCUUGUUAUUUAAUUUUUGAACUUCUUGUUUCCAUUCUUUAAUAAUGAGGAAAAUCUUAAUUUUCUAUAAUCUUCGAACUUCUCCAUAUUAUUAAUAUGGACUUCCUGGUUUUAUUUCUUAAACUUUUUUACGAAAUUUUGAAGCGCUCUAUUAUUAAAAAUUGAACUUCUUGUUAUUUAAUUUUUGAACUUCUUGUUUCCAUUCUUUAAUAACGAGGAAAAUCUGAGUUUUCUAUAAUCAUCGACUUCUCCAUCUUUUUAAUAUGGACUUCCUAGUUUAUUUCUUAAUCUUUUCUAUGAAAUUUUGAAGCGCUCUAUUAUUAAAAGUUGAACUUCUUGUUUCCACUCUUUAAUAACGAGGAAAAUCUGAGUUUUCUAAAAUCAUCGAACUUCUACAUCUUUUUAAUAUGGACUUCCUAGUUUUAUUUCUUAAUCUUUUUAUGAAGUUUUGAAAUGCUCUAUUAUUAAAAGUUGAACUUCUUUGUUAUUUAUGUUUUGAACUUCUUGUUUCCAUUCUUUAAUAACGAUGAAAACCUUGCCUUUUUAUUCAUUUUUCUCAUAUUAAACACACACCAUGUAGUACAUGAACUUUUUCCGUUUUUAUAAUUUGAAUUUUUUAUUUUCUUUUUGAAAUCUAAUUGCUCCUCAAUAAUAACAGAACUUCUUUGUGGAUUGAGACAAAUAUUUUAAGAAGCAAAAAAAGAAUUUCUUUUUUAUGUUUUCGAACAUGGAAAUAGAUGGUGAACUUCUCUCACCAGAAUUUUUUAACUUCCCGAAAAGAGCACUUGAACUUCUUUCAACAAACCUUUGAAGCUUUUAUUUUUUUUCUAUACUUUUAUUCUCACCUGAAAUGCAUUCCUUUCAGUACUUGAACUUCUCGUUGUUUUCACUAUGAACUUCUGUUGCUUUUUUGUGUAUACGUCAAAUUACACACAAGUGAAGGUCAGACGUCAUUUUUUUCCAUUUUAAAACAUGUAAUUGGAGGUCGGACGUCCCGCAAUAUAAGUUUCGAACCGAGCACGGGGGUGCACGUGAACUUCUUGCAACAAAUCUGAGUUUUUUUAUAUACUUCAAACUUCUCUGUUAUUUUAAUUUCAACUUCUUAGUCAUAUUCUUAGAAAGGAAAUAUGUUUUUAAAUAAGCACCAAACAUUUUUUUUGUAAAUUGCACUUCACCAUUUUAUUUUUCUUAGAGACGGUAAUAAUUUGAGUUUCCCGUAUACAUCGAACUACUCCUCUAUUUUAAUUUGAACUUCGUCAUUUUUAUUCUUUACUAACAAGUAAAAUCUGAUAUAAAUAUCGAACUUCUCUAUUUUGUAAUUUGGACUUUUUGGUUUAUUUCUUUUAGCAUCAAAAUAUCCUAGUUUUGUCAUAAAUAUUGGACCCCCUCCACAUUCUUUUUCUAAUUAAAAUUUGUAAACUAUUUUUUUGUUAAUUUAAUUUGAGCUUCCGUUGUGGAAACUUGUUGAACAGGAGGAACUUUUGUAACUUCCCGGUCUGUGCACUUGAACUUCUAGCAACAAAAUUUUUGGACUUCGCCUUUUUACUCCUAUUGAACUACUCUGUUUUUUAAAAUUAAACUUCGUGGUUUUAAUCUUUAGUGUUGGGGAAAAUCUAAGACUUUUAUAAACAUCAAACAACUUCAUUUUUGAAAUUAGGACUUUUUGCUCUUAUUCAUUUGUAUAGGGGAAAAGGCCUUGUUAUGUAAUAAACAUCGAACUACUCACUUAUUUAAAUUUGAACUUUCAUAUCUUUUUAGACUUUGACUUUUUAUUCCUUUUUUCGUAUAUGAAACAAACUCCAUGUAGGACGAACUAUUUUCAGAAUAAGAAUAUUUAUACACCUUGGAAAGUUGUUGAAUAGGAGGAACUUUUUAAUGUAGAGCAUUUUUGUUUCAAAUUUGUAAUGGAUUGAGAGAAUUAUUUUAAUUCACAAAACAACAUUUUUUUGUUUGUUUUUGCACUUGUAAAUACACGUUGAACCUCUCUCGCGAGUAUUUUUGAACUUCCCUGGCCAAGCACUUGAACUUCUCGCAACAAAUUAUCCUUUUUAUUCUUUUUUCUUAUAUGAAAACACACACCAUGGAGUGCUUCGACUUCUGGUUGUUUUCGAAUUGAACUUCUAAAGCACUCAUCGAAUUUGAGCAAAUGAUAUCAAUAAAAUACUAUUAGAAAGCAUUUUUUACAAAAUCAUGACGGGUUACGAGCAUCUUUUUUGAACACGCUAAAACUUGUUUUGAAAAAUAAACACAGAACAUUCAAAUUAUAUUAUGUGGAUAACGCGUAUGACAUACCGUUGGAAAACUUAUGUUUCAAAGCGAUUUUUCAUGUAGAAUUUUUUUUCAAAUUCGUUACCAUUUAUGAGUAGUUUUUAAAAUGCCAAAAAUGGUAUCGAUGUUUUUAACAUGUAAAUUUGAGUUUUUUUUGUAAACUAAGCACUUGUCUAUUAUUUUCAUUUGAACCUCUUAGUUAUAUUAUGAUAGAGGAAAAAUAUUGAUUUUUCUAAGAAAACAUCGAACAAUUUUUUUAAUUGAAUUAAAUAUAUUUUUUCUAGAAACAAGAAGAACUUGAGCUUUUUGUAUACAUCUAGUUGCUCCGUUAUUUUAAUUUGAAGUUCUUGGUUUUAUUCUCUAGUAACGAUGAACAUUUGAGUUUUCAAAAAUGCCAAAAAUGACGUUCUUUGAACAUGUAAAUCCUAGGGUUUAAUGUACUUUGAACUUCCGUGUUAUUUUAAUUUGAACUUCACAUUUUUAUUUUUGGAGUAAAGAAUUGUUUUCAAUUUUUAAAUAAAUAUCAAAUUUGGUUAUUUUUAAAAUUUGAACUUCAAAGUUGAUUCUUUUAAAAACGGGGGAUGUUUGAGUUUUAUAAACAUGGUAAAAUCCAAGGUUUCUUAAUAAACAUCAAACAAUUCCGUUAUUUUUGUUUGAGCUUCUAGCUUUUUAAAACAUUGGAGAAUUCUUUUUUAAAACUUUUUUAGUGGUUCCUAUUAUUUUAAUCUUAACUUCUUCAUUUUAUUUUUUACUAAGGAGGGAAAACAUGACUUUUUUUGUAAUCAUUUAUAAAUAUUUUAUAAAACUUUGAACUUCACUAUUAUUUUGAUGUGAACUUCUUAUAGAAAGUUAUGGUUUCUAGAUUAGCAAACAUUUUUUUCAAAAUUAAACUUCAUAUCUUUCAUUUUUCCUAGAAAAAAGGAAAGGUUUUGAGUGUUCCGUGUACAUCGAACUACUCCGUUAUUUAAUUUGAAAUUCUCGAUUUUAUUCUUUAGUAACAAGGAAAAUCUGAGUUUAUGACAAAUAUCGAACUGCUCUAUUUUGGUAAUUUGGCCUUCUUGAUUUAUUUCUUUUAGCAAUAGAAAAAAUCAUAGUUCUGUAAUUUACAUGUCCGUCAUUUUUUCGAUUUCAUUUACUUCACAUUUUUUUGCUCGUGAACCUCCCAUUUUCUCUUUUUGAACUUCUUUUUUUGGGGUCCGGAAUCUCCAUGUGCCAUCCUAAACUUCUAGUGUACUUUUGUAGUUUCUUUUUUGUAAACUUCUGUUGGUUUGUUUUUUUGUUGUCGUUUUUCUGGAUAUGUAAAAGCAGUUUUUGUUCUGUAAAUUUCAUCAUUCUACACAAAAGUUUCGCCAAAAUGGAUGUGCAUAUGGAGUUGUGGGUUCAGGCCCCAAGACCUCUCUAAACAAUGUGUGGCACCAUACAAAAAGGUGUAGUAUCAUGUCGCCCUCUUGUCCUCUUCCCCUAGCAUUUUUCUAACAAAUCAACGACACAAAUUCAAAUUUCUGGGUACCAUUACGUACGUUUCAGUAACAAGAAUGGGUGCCAUUACAUAUGUUUCAGUAACAAGAAACCGUAAAAACAUAAACUAUGCCUUGACUCUACAUGGAUGACACGGGACACAACACUACCAAACCUAGGAAAUGUUAGGCAAAUCCCCUCUGAUAAAUAGACAAAUGUGCUUAUCUCUAGCCUCCAGUAGAAAUAGAAACCAAGGUGCAGCGUACACCGUAUUUCAUCAUCACUCUCAUUUUUAGUCGUGCCUCCUGUCCCUGCUACCUCCGUCUCGUACUUCGUCAAUCCUUGUGGCCGGCGACCUCGAACGGUCCCUUGACGACCUUCUCGACCCGCCAGGCAAACGGCUCCGCGGUGCCACAGAGAGCGCUGGCCUGCAUGCAUACAACAUUCAAAUGAGAUACCAUCUUAAAUGGUUGGUACAAACCAAAAGCUACCUCUGAAAAUCAAGACAUGGCAUCAAGAUGUAAGAAGAAAAGUAGAAGCAGUUCCUCCCAUCAUAGUGCUGGACUACAGGCUUGCCCCUCCCGUUGCAGACAACAUCAAUUUGGAGAAGAUUCAAGCAUGAAGUUCGUGCUUAGGCCUCGGGCAGGUCGCCGCUUAGGCUUUGGCAGGUCGCCGACAGCACGAGAUGAGUGGUCAUCGUGGUGACGCACAAGAGGAAAGGCGGGAUCCAACGCGAACUUACUGCUGCUGCCAGGAUUAGUCUUCGACAGCGGUGUCGUGCAAGGAUGCCGGCCUACUAGCGACGCACGAGAGGAGAGGCGGGAUCCAAUGCGAACUUCUCGCAGGGGGCCAGUGUGGAGGUCCGGCCGCUGGAGGGUCGUCGGGCAUGGGAGGGCACCGGAAGGCGCGUUGGAACAGGUGGCGGGCGGCCGGAGGCGCGGCGGGG
rnacentral:lncRNA from 1 species